UUUCUGCCCAUUGUCCUGUUGCCUUUGCAUUCCUUUGCUUCUGGGGAAUCGAGUAGAUUAACGGCCUGCCCGUUUUAAAAUUUAUUUUUUUUAAAUAUUAAAUGUAUACACUGCCCUCCAUCCGAAGAUUGCGGGAAUUGUACUCUUCGCAAAUGAUACAACAGGGUACGUACUUGGUUUUGACUGAUAAACUUGUACAAGGCUGGGAUGUGUGGGGAAACCAGGAAACAUAGUUUGAUGCUGACUAGCUUAUAGUAUUUUUCUUUUGUUAACAAUCACUAGAAGGAACCCCCACCCUGUCCUGUAACUCAUCUUUUCAGCUUGGUUAUUUAACAUGCUAUUAUUUUCUGCUUUAUACACAUGAUUAUCUAUCUAUCUAUGCUGCCUUAUUUUCUGCCUUAUACACAUUAUGUCUAUAUCUAUAUAUAUGCGCGAUUUUAGCUGUUCUUAUUUUCAUCUGUGAGCUGUCUUGAGUCCCCGACAAGUAUUUAUAUGUGUUAUAAAUACAUAUAGAAUAAUUAUCAUCAUCUUCAUUUGGCUUUGUACCUGGUGACCAAGACCCAUUAUUUGUUGUUUUGCGUUGUUUCAUAUUAUUCUUACUAUAACUUCUAUAUAGAAGGCUCGCUGGUAGAUAUAUAUUUCUCUUUUUU